rnacentral:rRNA from 1 species
CGCGGCCUAUCAGCUUGUUGGUGAGGUAAUGGCUCACCAAGGCGACUACGGGUAGCCGGCCUGAGAGGGUGACCGGCCACACUGGGACUGAGACACGGCCCAGACUCCUACGGGAGGCAGCAGUGGGGAAUAUUGCACAAUGGGCGAAAGCCUGAUGCAGCGACGCCGCGUGAGGGAUGACGGCCUUCGGGUUGUAAACCUCUUUCAGCAGGGAAGAAGCCACAAGUGACGGUACCUGCAGAAGAAGCGCCGGCUAACUACGUGCCAGCAGCCGCGGUAAUACGUAGGGUGCAAGCGUUGUCCGGAAUUAUUGGGCGUAAAGAGCUCGUAGGCGGUUUGUCGCGUCUGCUGUGAAAGCCCGGGGCUUAACCCCGGGUGUGCAGUGGGUACGGGCAGACUAUAGUGUACUAGGGGAGACUGGAAUUCCUGGUGUAGCGGUGGAAUGCGCAAAUAUCAGGAGGAACACCGAUGGCGAAGGCAGGUCUCUGGGCUGUUACUGACGCUGAGGAGCGAAAGCAUGGGGAGCGAACAGGAUUAGAUACCCUGGUAGUCCAUGCCGUAAACGUUGGGCACUAGGUGUGGGGGACAUUCCACGGUUUCCGCGCCGUAACUAACGCAUUAAGUGCCCCGCCUGGGGAGUACGG